CUUAAAAGGCUCAAGAAACUGUCGACAAAAACCUCAACUCUCCUCAUUUUCCAAAAGCCCAGAACUCCCAUUUCACAGAAUCGUUCAACAAACAAUGGAUCGAUCUUGCUUUCUCAAAUUACUUCUUCUUCAUGCUUUUGCUUCUCUCCUUCUCCAAAAGUCAAAGUCAAGGGUUUUGUAGCAGGAAAUUGAUGGAGGCUGUUGUGUUUGAAGAAUCCACCGCUCAAUUGGAGGAAAUUGCAGAAACGUCAAGGGGAAUGAUUGAAAUAAUGGAUUAUAAAGAUCCAGGGCCUAAUGUUAAUCCCAAAACUGGUUACAUAUUCAACCCUCCUCCACAAGGCUAAGUUGGCAGAAGUGCAGCUUUUUUUUUCCUUAUG